CCUAGGGAGGCAGCAGUGGGGAAUAUUGGGCAAUGGGCGCAAGCCUGACCCAGCAACGCCGCGUGAAGGAAGAAGGCUUUCGGGUUGUAAACUUCUUUUAUCAGGGACGAAGCAAGUGACGGUACCUGAUGAAUAAGCCACGGCUAACUACGUGCCAGCAGCCGCGGUAAUACGUAGGUGGCAAGCGUUAUCCGGAUUUACUGGGUGUAAAGGGCGUGUAGGCGGGAGUGCAAGUCAGAUGUGAAAACUAUGGGCUCAACCCAUAGCCUGCAUUUGAAACUGUACUUCUUGAGUGCUGGAGAGGC
rnacentral:rRNA from 1 species